rnacentral:ncRNA from 1 species
GAAAGCCGUAUGCGGGAAAACUGCACGUACGGUUUGAUGAGAGGGGGCUGGGCACCCAGUCCUCUACUCUAC